UCCGAAGUUUCGUUGCAAAAUGCGGAUAAUAUAGCGGAUAAUAUAGUUGUUGUAAAAUGCGGAUAAUAUAGCCUUGCGGAGUUUGCCGUUUUUCAGUCAUUUUGUAUUACGCAUGAAGAAAUUGAUACCGCUUUGUUCAUUAGGGAAUAGGUGGCCUGAGGUCCUUCCCCAGGAAAUUUUCGUAUUUUUUAGCCUUCGGAGGUCAAUUUAAUUUCUUGCAUUUUCAGAAACAACAAUUUUCGAUAUAUUCCAUCUUCAAUUUCAAAGAUUGAAAUGUUAUAUAGGCCAUAUAAAAGCAUUGUUUGGUUAUGGAAAUCCGGCUGCACUCAGUUUCUUUGCUUAUAUUUCAGAAAAAGGGUAGCUUCACGUAAUUGAAUAAAUAUUAAGUGAAAACCAGCAUAACUUAAUGUCUUCCUUGUGUAUUUGGCUAUUUGCUAAAUUAUGUGUAAUACGAACGGUUAUCGUGCUUUUGAGUCUUUUGAGCAAAUUAGUAUCACCUAAUUUUAAUCAAUUAUAGAAAAUCAUUACUGCCUAAAAUUAUCACUGCACAAAUGCAUGCCAUUUAUCAAUAAUAUCAUUGCACAAAUUGGUUAUCAUGCACUGCCAACCUUAAAAUAAUCCCUGACUUGUCGAUGUAAAAAUAUUCUCUGGCAUGCAGGAAGAGUUUCAGUUACUUGUUACUUUCUUAACUUAAAAUGAUCUGCUGUUAGACAGUAAAAUACAGCUAAAGUCAACAUCGUUCAUAGAUGAUAUACGGACGGGAAUUAAAGAUUAUAUAUAUUGUGUUGCCGCAUUCCUUGAAAUCUUCACUUUUUUGUACCGUCUAUACUCCCAAAGGCAUGG